UAGAACUUAGUGUAUUGUGGUAGCACGAAGAUUUUUGAAUUCUUAAGGUUAGGUUCAAUUCCUAUAGUUCUAG
rnacentral:tRNA from 1 species